rnacentral:lncRNA from 12 species
GCAUUGUGCAUUUUUCUAGAUAAGCUGUGUGACAGCCCUCUCAUCAAUCAGACGUGGUGCUGAUCCAUGAACUGCAGGCCUAGAGCACUCUUGGCUGGAUUUGACCCCACUGAAAGCAGGCACCAAAUAAAAGAGGGAAGCUGUAGUCACUGGAGCAGUAUUGAUGCUGUUGUUGCCUUCCUAACAGCAGCCACCUGGAUACAGAGCCCUGUGCUGCCUGCAGUCCUGUCACAGAUUAAUUAACACCAGACAGCCCAGUCCUGUGUCCUCACAGCAGAGCUGCCCUCCAGACUGUGCUCCAGACUGGACAGGAAGGUGCUACCACGGCAUGAGAAACAGCUGGGGGUAAGGAGGGGCAAUCUGUGGAGUGGCUUGGGCUUGCCUUUGUAGAAGGUCAUGCAAAGGCAGUACAGAAUGACUCUGGGGACGAGGGGUCUUUUUGGUCCUGCAUUCAGAGGACUCCUAAUGUACGGCUCCUGAGUGUGAGAGGAGGAAGAGAGGCAGAAACACUGGUUGAGGAGUUGGUUUAUAAUUAUAAAAUGGCUUGUUUUUCUGUGGUAGUCAACAUACAAUAUAUCCCAGAGGGAAGCUAACAGACCCAUAAAGUUCUUUGUUGGUCAGCCCAAAUAAAGGACAACACCUGAACGUAGCUCAUUGCAGGCAUUUCUUUAUCAGGUGUUGAAGGUCCAAAUAUCACAAAUGCUGUAAUAAAAGUGAGUUAAU